CACGCGAGAUCCGACGAGGAAGUGUGAGAUCCCGGAGAAAGCACUCCUCCGACUAGGCCGACCACAAAAUCCGGCGAGGAAGCGCUGGCGACGGCCUCCGCCGGGGAAGCUGCUGCCUUCCACCAGCAAAGAAGAGGCUGGUCAUGCCGUGGAAGAGGAGGCCCUUUCUCGUGAGAUCUAAAGCACUCCCCCGACUUCCGUCCCCACGAGAUCCGGAGAGGAAGUGCUGGCCUCCGGCCUCCGGCGGGGAAGCUGCUGCCUUCCAUGGCAAAAAAAUACAAUUCCUCGCCGACCUCCCAAGUCAAGGCCGCCUUCGCGCUCAACCCCACCUCUGCGUCCUGCAUCCUCACCUUCCUCUCCCUAAACACAGACCAAGCAUUCCCCUAAACCCAAUCUCGUGCUUUAAACGGAUGGGGGAUGCUUGGUGUAUUCUUUUGUGUCAAUCGGAACAAACAUGGAGGGAGGGUCAGGCUCCAGUUCAUUGUGACUCCAUUAACAGAGUUCGACCACUUUGAAAAAGGUAGCAACAAGGUGAAAAGAUCCUCAGCUGAGCAUCUUCGUUGAGCAACGGACACGAGGUAAUGAGAGAAGAAAUUUGGAAGGAAAAAGAUCUAAAACUGG